AGAGCACCUGACUCAUAAUCAGGUGGUCCCUGGUUCGAGCCCAGGUGGGACCA
rnacentral:tRNA from 1 species